UUUGGUCGGGUUGGUCUUGGUUUUGAGUGUUCUUGAGUGGUUUUUGAGUGUUUCUGAGAUUUUUUUGAGUGGUUUGGUUAGGUUUUGGGUGGUUUUGGUAGGGUCUGUCUUGGUUUUGAGUGGUUUCGAGUGUUCUUGAGUGGUUUUGAGUGGAUUUUGAGGGUUUCUGACUGUAGGUUAUAUAGAUAAAUGCGAAGAGUGCCUCCCCCCGAAGUGCCUCCCCCCCCUUAUCUCGGGUACCAUAAGUCCUAGAGUGCUGAAACUUGGUGGGUAUACUAAUUAGGGAGUGGGCUUUCGAAUGCACCCAGUGCCGUCUCUCUAGCGCCACCAGGCGCCGAGAUAUGGUACUGCUCCAUUACUUGAGUUUUGGUGUGCUAGGGCUAUGGUUGAGUUUCUUAGUUCCAGCCCUAGAGUCGAGUUUCUCUAUGUGGCUGGUUGUGACUUAGUCAAAUGGGUUGGACUUAGUGUUUUUUGAGUGGUUUGGUGUUGGUUUUUAGUGUUCUUGAGUGGUUUUGAGUGGUUUUUGAGUGUUUCUGAGUGUUUUUUGAGUGGUUUGGUUAGGUUUUGGGAGGUUUUGGUAGGGUCUGUCUUGGUUUUGAGUGGUUUCGAGUGUUCUUGAGUGGUUUUGAGUGGGGUUAGGGUUAGGUUAUAUAGAUAAAUGCGAAGAGUGCCUCCCCCCGAAGUGCCUCCCCCCCCUUAUCUCGGGUACCAUAAGUCCUAGAGUGCUGAAACUUGGUGGGUAUACUAAUUAGGGAGUGGGCUUUCGAAUGCACCCAGUGCCGUCUCUCUAGCGCCACCAGGCGCCGAGAUAUGGUACUGCUCCAUUACUUGAGUUUUGGUGUGCUAGGGCUAUGGUUGAGUUUCUUAGUUCCAGCCCUAGAGUCGAGUUUCUCUAUGUGGCUGGUUGUGACUUAGUCAAAUGGGUUGGACUUAGUGUUUUUUGAGUGGUUUGGUGUUGGUUUUUAGUGUUCUUGAGUGGGUUAGGAUUUCUGUAAGUCCAAUCGACAGGUCCCGAGGGACCUGAAGAUGGUUAUGCACUGUCCAUCCGUUCCACUGACCGCUUUGCAAUGGUGUGGGAUCAGGGGGGAUCCCAUCACAGACUCCUGUUUGCUCUACAUAAUUUUUUCUUUUGUCUUUUCAGGUCCCAGGAUCAUCCGUGAAUCCGGAAGGUCAAAAGGUCAACCUUUCUGAUAUCGAUGGCUGAAUGAACUAAGCGGUGGAGAUACAGAUGUGAGCGUCCAUAAGCGGGCUAUUUACCCUCGGGCUAUUUUGUGGAGGGCUGUUUUGCCCAGGGUUGUUCUGGGUAGGGUUAGUGGCCUGUCCGGGACUGGAUUUUUUUUCGAAUGAACUCAGCAGUGGAGAUACGGAUGUUGUAAUGUAUCAUUUUUUAUGAUAUUUAUUUAUUUAUUCCUGCCCUCAAUUAUUACUUAUAUAUUUCUCAUUAAUCAUUUAUUUAUUUAUUUUCUAGAGUGUCCAUAAGCG
ensembl:lncRNA